UUUUUUAAUUCAGACAUAUCUGCUCAUUUGUUAGUUUCGGGCGUGAGCCGAAAACACUUAUUUGAGCUUUUGAAUGAAAAUGGCUGGAUGGGAAAUGCCACUUCUUUAGUUGUGAGAAAAAAGAUGGCCGACUUUGUCAUACAACGCAUCCCUACUGCUGACGAUGAUGGCCUAACCAACAAAAUAUCAUGGUUUUCAACUCAAAUUGCUUUACGUUGGAAAAGGUGCUACCGAAAUAACACCUUUCAGCAACAUGCAAAAACGCCUUCGCGAAAGAACUGAAGAGAAUUUAUUGCUAUUAGUACUAGAACUAAGAGAAGACGUACACAAGAAUUGAUUUCUCAAUAUGUCCUGCUGAACUUGCGUCAGACUGGAUAUACAAGAAAAGGAAAGAGAAAUGUUGCUUUUGCCAUCAAAACAGCUACGAUUUCUAGUCCCGAAGAGUUGGCAAAAAUAAAAAAUUUAGAAAGGUUAAACAACGAGAUGCGACCAUUUUCUCCAGAGGAAGCCUUGAUAAAGAUAACAUUUUGUAGAUCAGUAAAUACAUUCAGUUAAAAUACCCAAGUAACACAAUAUCAUUGUCAACAUUGUUUUAAGUUGUAAUAUUCACUUGUAAAUUCAAUAAAUAAAAUGACAAAAUACCAUCUUGUUAAUAUCCUGACGCAAUAAAACAAAAUAAUAUUAAGUACUGUAAAUGGUAUAGAGCGUCAAAAAUAAAAAUGGCUGUAACUUUUGAUACACAUAGUAUAAACCAUUCACCCCUAUAUCAAAAUGC